AAGAGAAAUUGAGUUGUCAUGACUAGGAGUUUAAUGUCUUCAUUAUUUGCAAGGUAUGCAUAUAAUUUGGCCAUCAGUGCUAUGUAUGCUUGUGCUUCAGAAAAUUUAGACAGGUGCUCCCGUCUCCCCGCUUCCUCACUUAUUUAUAUAUCCCUCUUUUCCAAUUCUUCUUAAUUUGUUUAAUCGAUCGCACAUUUGAUAAUGCUUGUUGGUUGCUCUGAUUUUUCCUCACACAGAGGAGGGACAACAACAUCUUUGAGAGAAGAAGGCGCCGUUGAGAAACAUCUUUGAAAGAAGUAGGGACCUUUGAGAACAAGCACUUCACAUUGUUCAGUUCCAGAGCCGUUUGGUUCUGUCUGGAGGGUGCCCCCCUUCGACUGUAUUCCUGGAGCCAUAAACACUGAGGUCAAUUGUGUGGAUAUGAUGAAUGGCAUAGUUAGGCCCGCAUCUUUGUGG